AAAGGCAAUCCCAGGCCAGCCACGUGGGUUGGAGCGCAGCGUUUCUGGGCAGCAGCUCGGGAGACGCCCGGCUGCAACGGUCCCCAAGCGUGGGGAACCGGGCAGGGAGGGGCCGGCAGGGCUCCUACACGCACCUUCUGGGCGCGCGGCUGCAGCGGCUCGCACGCCCUGGAGGCGCGCAGGGUCGCCGAGUCCAAGUACUCCGCGCGCGCGUUCGGGGAAUGGAAAAAGAGGCGCUGGCACCUAAGCCGGUGUAAUAGGACCCGGGUCUUGUAAACCCUCCUCCCCAGGCACCGCCUCUCCGCUCCCAGCCCCUCUUUCCAGCCUUAAUUAUCCUUUCAGCGCCGUUUCCCCUCGGCUGCGUUUCCCUGGCCGGAGGGGAAGUGCUCUCUCGCCUCCCCGUCCGGCCCGCGCACAGACCCUCCUUUCAGACCCGCCCUCCAGUUCACGGGGACCCGUUUCGGAGCCCUCGCUCACGCUGGGCGGGAACCAGCGUGACCAAUUCCGCCCAAGGUGUUGAUUAUCCAUCCCAACCCUGCCUCUGGCUCGCCUCCCACUUCGCCCCAGCUCCCGCGCGCCCCCGUCCCCCCUCCCCAGGCCGGGCGCUGGGGACGGCAACCCCCAAGCCCCCCACCCGCGCGGCCCCGCGCUGCAGCUGCGAAGAGAAGCGCCAGCGUGCUCGGUGCCACGUCGGAGUUGGCUCCCGGGACGUUGCAGCUGCCUGCGCUGCAGCGCGCGGUCCCCACGCACGCCCUGCCCCCGGGCGGCGGCGAGCAGAGGUUCGCGCGCCCUCCUCCCGCUCGGGUCGGCGGCUGCCACCGCUUGUGUCCGGGACCCCUGGCCCAAGUAAGGCUUCCGGAGCCGGGCUGAGCCCGGGCAGACCGAGCCUGACACUGCCUUGGGGUCCAGGGAGUGCAAAGGACGGGAAGCCCGGGAAAGUGGGAGUGGCCGAGCGAGGCCGGUAGCUGCGAGGAGGUGGCGAAGGACCCUCCUUCUCGGAGGGUCUCGGCUCCCAGGAGCUGGGAGCCCAAAUCACUUUAACCCUUUGCAUUCCAAGUAAGAAGCGGGUUUCCCACUUACAAGUAAAAGGCACUGAGCUGGCUGUUCCAGGGUUUUCCUCCCGACGUAGGGGGGGGGGGGAAGAACGGAAGGGAAGGGAUGGGAAGGGAAGGGGCAAAGGGGGGUGGCUGUGCGGAAUGCAUUUUCCUUGCACAGUGGAAAUUCUGGUUUCCUAGCCCGGGAGCCCCUCUGCGGCUCCGGAAGAUGAGGAGUGGAAAAGUACAUCUCGGGACGUGCAGUCUUUCCCAGGCAGAGAGGUUACCUGUGUUCCCAGAAAGGCAGCGGAUUUCUGCCGAGCGCCGCAGGGAUGGGGAAAGCCAGGGUUAUAUUGCCAAGCCUGACAGUGAUCUGAAAUAUCCCCUGAUUUUCAGUCUGUUGGAAAUUAUCAGACCUCAAACUUCUCUGUCGAAAACUAGCUUUACAAUUUUUUAACACUUAUGUGGGUAAUUUCUUCCCUCUCCCUGGCCUAUUCGGGGGCCCUCCUGGUUCACCAUAUCGCGCCAGUGUAACGUACCUUGUUCAGCUCUUGGUCAUAAAGUUGUCCUCAGACUGUCUGUGUGGUCCCGGAGGGUCGGUGGCGGGCAGUUUCCAAAAUUGAGGUAAUAAGAGAUCAGAUGAAUUUGAGACGACCGGCCAAAAAAAAUAAAAAAUUUAAAAACAACAUUUAAAAAGGAUGGGGGGGUAGUCUGAAAUGUUUGGUUCACCCCCACUUUAAAAGGAAAUUUCACCACUAUUCUUUUUAAUAUUUCCGUUGCACUUCAGUCUAAUUCUUAAAAGAAAAAUUUGUGCUUUAAAAAUAAAUUAACUUUAUUUUUAUUUUAUUAUUAUCAUUAUUAUUAUUAUUAUUAUUUUGCUCCAGUUCCCCCUCCCCUGAUAACGGAAAGUCUCUUUUCUUUUUCGUAUCAAGAAAAGCCCGGUGAAGUCUCAGCAGAACCCAGGAAGCGCAGAAUCGGGAGAAAGUCUUUGGCUGGGGCUGGUUCAAGUCCCUGGUUCAAUGGGCUGCUGGAAGCCAGGACUGGGUAAUUCUUUCCAGACGUCUUGACUUCUCCUUCCUCGCUGUUGUUGCCUUUCUGCCUCCUCCAACUUAAGGGGGUCUUAACAAGGGAGCUGGUGGGUGUUUUAAUAGGGCGGAGGAGGGAGUGGGGGUUGAGGGGAGUGGAGAAGGGAGGUGCGGACUGGGGAACCCGGGGGGAGGGAACUGGGAGCGCGGGCGGGCGGGCGGGAGGCGGGGAGGGGGAGAGGAAGAAAGAGAAAUUGGCCAUUCAAAGCCCUCUCUGAGCUAGAGGCCGGUUCUAAACUCCAAUGAAUUCAAUUAACUUGAUUGCUAACGUGUGCAGAGAAAUGCACUGCGCACAGGCUGGCCACCACCUGAUUCCCUCCUUCCUCCAGCGACAGAGCUGGGAGGCCGCGCUUUGCAGAAAUCCCUCAGCUCCGGUCUGAGUUACAAGGAUUCCCUCUUCGCGAAAAACUCCCCAAACGGUUUAACUAAUUUGCUGUGAGGCCAAAUGGUGCCCUUAGGCUACUAAGUAACAGCCCAGGGGAGAGAUAGCUGGGAGGUGUGUGUGUGUGUGUGUGUGUGUGUGUGUGUGUGUGCGCGCGCGCGCACACCUGGAACCUCCGAACGCCGGCAGCGACUCCAAAUAAAAUCGGCCACAGGUCUACCGCGUGUUAACCCUUUCUUCCCGGUAGCUCAAAAGUUUCUGAGCAGGCGUCAAGUGUCAAAGUCCUCCCUACACAGAAGUUUCGGUCUUGGGUGGCGGGAAAAGUGGAAACAUAGUUAUAUUUUUUUCCUUCACUUGGCCUCCUCACGUAAAAACACGCAAGCAGCGAGCAUUAUAAAUAAAAAUAAAAAUCGUGCUCCGUAGAACUCGAAAGUAGCGCGCUUAGAAAAAGCCAUUUCCAAGGGAAUGGCUUAAAUGGCUUCUGCUUCUUUCGAGAAGAUAGCGAGUCAAAAUACUUAUAUUUGAGACGCUCUUUUCUCCAUCUUUUCCCCAACGCCCUAAAGCUGGAAAGAGUCUUCCCGGUUACUCUUUUCCCCUUUCUUUAUUUCUCUUUGGUCCUCGCCAAAGCGUCUCCUGACUUAAAAUGGACACUAGGUGGCACUGUUUAGGAAAAAAUGAGAGUGGGUUUACAAAUUCACUAAUUUGGCCAUUGAAGGUUCCGCUGUAAUUAUUGCAGGGUAAAAAGAGAUUUCUUUCCUUUCCUUUGCUUCCCCCCCUCCCCCGCCCCGCCUUCCAAGGAUCCUCUGAAGUGUGAACUGCUUUGGAACUCAGAUAGGUCUUGAAAAGUGGGGUCUUGCUCCUUAUCACGUAUUUUGGACAAUAAGGAACAAGUCAAAACAGAAAAGUCGAGUAAACUAGGAACGAUGCUUUUCAACAAGUUCGCGCUGGGUGUGGUGUUAGGGGAUGUGCUUAGAGGUCAAGAAUUUUAUUGCAAUACCAGGCCAGGUAGUCAGCCAACCCAGUCCCCAGGGGCCGACCUGCAAAGUACCGCGCGUUUCCGCCCCACCCGCACCACCACCACCCCCACCCCCCCUCCCGCAGCGGUUACACCUCUGGGAAGCAUUGCCCUGGCCUGAUGACUUCACGCUGGUCUGGGGAAACCCACUCACUAAUUUUCCCCAACAAAUCUUCAAGGCUUCAGCCUUUGUGUGAACACUGCCUGAGGUGAUUCAACUCUUGAGGAACUGGCUUAAAUUUGAGAGCCGGAUUCAUCCCACUUAGACUGGUUCUUGAAUUUUAGUUGUAUGAUAGUUUUUAAAGGCUAAGUUGUAAUUGAAAAUAUAUUAUCUGGGGGGCGCCUGGGUGGCUCAGUCAGUUAAGCGUCUGGCUUCGGCUCAGGCCAUGAUCUGGCGGUUCGUGGGUUCAAGCCCCUCCUGGGGCUCUGCUGACAGCUCGGAGCCUGGAGCCUGCUUCGGAUUCUGUGUCUCCUUCUCUCUGCCCCUCCUCCACUCAUGCUCUGUCUCUGUCUCUCAAAAAUAAAGCGCUAAAAAAAUUUAUUAAAAAAAACAUAUUAUCUGACUUAUGUACUCUUACAUAUAAUGCGGAUUAAGCCGAUUUAGGGGUACCGUGAAAAUUGUGGGUGUCAAGUGUCUAGCUGUGGGACCCCACAGGAACACUCAAUCUUAGCUCUAAAUUUCUGUGCUUAUUAUUUGUAAUGCAGAAUUGCAGAUUUUUGCUCAGUAGCACUUAGCUGCCCCUUUGCUAAUAGUUCCAGCAAUAAGAACCUUUAGUAAAACUGGGUUUCUUUAUUAAACAAAAGCACAUUUGUUGUUUGUCCCCUUUUACUUGCAAUUCAUGGCCCAUAAAGAAAAAGUAAAAUGUUACCUGACUGUGAAU
rnacentral:lncRNA from 1 species